CAUUGAUUGACUUUGAUUCUAUUCAUGUUUGAUCAAUGUGUGUUGGUUGUUUCAUUUGAAUUUUAAUUCAUAUACAUUCUUAUUCUUCUUCUUCUUCUUUUUUUUAUCAAUGAGUUAAUGAUUGGUGGUUAGCCUUGACAUAUGAGGGGCUUAACCUUCUUUGAUUCAAAUCUAAUUCAUCUUGAUCAAAGAUCAAGUGAAUGGCUUUUCAUUAG
rnacentral:lncRNA from 1 species